GCCAGACUCCUACGGGAGGCAGCAGUGGGGAAUCUUCCGCAAUGGGCGCAAGCCUGACGGAGCAAUGCCGCGUGAACGAAGAAGGUCUUCGGAUUGUAAAGUUCUGUCCUUAUCGAAGAGAGGGUAUAGAGUGAAAAAUGAUAUACUAGGACGGUAGAUGAGGAGGAAGCCCCGGCUAACUACGUGCCAGCAGCCGCGGUAAUACGUAGGUGGCGAGCGUUAUCCGGAAUGAUUGGGCGUAAAGGGUGCGUAGGCGGUCGAUUAAGUCUGGAGUGAAAGGUACCGGCUCAACCGGUAUAGGCUCCGGAAACUGAUGGACUGGAGUACAGGAGAGGGUGGCGGAACUCCAUGUGUAGCGGUAAAAUGCGUAGAUAUAUGGAAGAACACCGGUGGCGAAGGCGGCCGCCCGGACUGUAACUGACGCUGAGGCACGAAAGCGUGGGGAGCAAAUAGGAUUAGAUACCCGCGUAGU
rnacentral:rRNA from 1 species